AGAGAUUACAAUGCUCUGUUUCUGGCACUAUCACUUUCCCUACUCACUAAAUUCACAAUGUUGCUUUGAGGAUUGAAUGGAUUAGUGUGUGGAGGAAGAACACAGAGAAGAUGGAGUCAAGAUAUAUGUGGGGAUGGGGUGUGAACCAGAGAGGAGUAAGAGCUGAAGAAUGAUGUUUGUCAUUGGUUACAGUGUUAACAGAGGCAGCCAGUGAGCCCCAUCCCUUAAACUGUACUGACUGAGUUUCUGCUUAAUAAAUCAGAAGAGUUUGGUUUGGAGACUCACUAGAAAUAUUAGGAAUAAGUGAGGGAGCCUAGAACCUUCUUCCAGUUAGAGAUUUACAAGUCCGAAAAUGAAACCAUUUUCCUUAGUGAUGGAUCAUUCGAGUUUCUAAGCAAAGACUGGGGCGGGGGCUGUUGAGUUGACACAGAAGAUGUGAUAGAUAGAGUUAAUGGUCAACUUAACAAAAACCUAGACCAGUGAGGGAUUCUCAAUUUGUGGGUCCUGAGCCCAAUCAGAUGUUUAUAUUAUGAUCCAUAACAGAAGCAAAAUUACAGUUAUGAAGUAAUAACAGAACACUUUUAUGGUUGGGGGUCACCACAACAUGAAGAACUGUAUUAAAGGGUCACAGCAUUAGAAAGGUGGAGAACCACCACCUAGAGUUGCCUAAGAGAUGGACUGUUGGACAUGUCUGUGGUGGGUUAAGUGGAUUAGUUGAGGUUGGAAGUCCUGCCCGCUGUAGAUGGCACCAUUCACAGUGCUUUUCCAUUUUAAGAGUUACAACACUAUGAUAAUGAAAUCAGAUGCUGUUUUUUUUCUCUACCCCUUAGCUAUCCCAGCAUGGAGGCACCAAAAUUAUCUACAAGCAGCACUCUGGGUGUGGGUACAUUCGUUUUAAUGAUGGUCAGUCUCUCCUGGGAAGCUUCACAGACAGGAGCCACAACCAAUGAGCAGGACUGCGACAGAAGGACUGAUAAAGGACACACCCAGUCCAAAGGAUGCCAUGAGCACCCAGAGCUAUUCUGUCCUACUUAUUGAUGGUCGCAACAUUGCUCCCCACACAGGGGUUUUGACCACAUAUUCCACAUCUUUGCAACGUCCAUGGAUGUCAGAGAGGGUGUAAUCCCCAGAACUAGACUUCCUCACUGUGAUGACACUCCGUGUGGAUGCUGGGAACUGGGUUCUCUGCAAGAAGAGCAAAUGCUCCUAACUUCUGAGCCAUUUCUCUAGCCCCUCAAACUGUAUUUUCAGCUGGAGUAUUGUACAGACUGUGAUUUCAGCAUAUUCACUGUAUGUUAUGCUUGUCCACAAGUUAGUAUUUGCAUGAAGAGUUAAAUAAAUCAAUAUAGAAUAUGAA